UAUAUAUAUAUAUAUAUAUAUAUAUAUAUAUAUGUAAGAGAGUGGGUAUGUGAAAGCACAUGAUUGGAUGUAUAAAAGAGUGAAAAUACUACAGAAGGCUUGUGUUAUAAGGUUAAAGAAUAAAUUUAAGUCGUUACGUUAAAAAAAUGUUAUAUAAUUUUGUGUAUAGUAACAUAGUUUUUGGAGAAAUAA